GGCCCCGUCGUCUAGCCUGGUUAGGACAUCAGCUUUUCAAGCUGAGUACACGAGUUCAAAUCUCGUCGGGGCUG
rnacentral:tRNA from 1 species